AACGCAAAUUGCACUUCCUGGUAUUCCGGGGAGUAUGCUUGUUUGAGGGUUAGUUUUAUAAAAUCGUGAAAAGAAAUUUUUACGGAUCUGGAUUUUCCAAAGUUUCUUUUGGUAAUCUAAAAUUUAUCUUAACAAUAGGUGAUAUUGAAAAUGUUUAUCUUUUAAUUCAUUAACAAUUAUUACCAAACUUGUUAUGUCGUGUUAUUUUCCUAAUUUCUUAAUUGGGUGAAGUAAUACAAUUUUUUCUUUUUGAAAUCUGACCUCAAGUCAAGUAAGAAUACCCGCUGAACUUAA
rnacentral:misc_RNA from 1 species